rnacentral:rRNA from 1 species
AUUGAACGCUGGCGGCAGGCCUAACACAUGCAAGUCGAACGAGUGGCGGACGGGUGAGUAAUGUCUGGGAAACUGCCUGAUGGAGGGGGAUCACUACUGGAAACGGUAGCUAAUAACGCAUACCAUCAGAUGUGCCCAGAUGGGAUGAGCUAGUUGGUGGGGGAACGGCUCACCAAGGCAACGAUACCUAGCUGGUCUGAGAGGAUGACCGGCCAAACGGGAACGGAGACACGGUCCAGACUCCUACGGGGGGCAUACGUGGGGAAUUUUGCACAAUGGGCGCAAGCCUGAUGCAGCCAUGCCGCUUGUAUGAAGAAGUCCUUCGGUUUUUAAAGUACUUUCAGCGGGGAGGCGUUACCCGCAGAAGAAGCCCCGGCUAACUCCGUGCCAGCAGCCGCGGUAAUUC